rnacentral:rRNA from 1 species
ACUCAAAGGAAUUGACGGGGGCUCACACAAGCGGUGGAGGAUGUGGCUUAAUUCGAGGCUACGCGAAGAACCUUAUCCUAGUCUUGACAUGCUUGAGAACCCUCCUGAAAGGGAGGGGUGCCCGCAAGGGAGCUCUUGCACAGGUGCUGCAUGGCUGUCGUCAGCUCGUGUCGUGAGAUGUCGCGUUAAGUCGCUUAACGAGCGAAACCCUUGUCCUUAGUUGCCAGCGGGUAAUGCCGGGGACUCUAGGGAGACUGCCGGUGUUAAACCGGAGGAAGGUGGGGAUGACGUCAAGUCCUCAUGGCCUUUAUGAUUAGGGCUGCACACGUCCUACAAUGGCGCACACAAAGGGAAGCAAACUCGUGAGAGCCAGCAAAUCCCAAAAAAUGCGCCCCAGUUCGGAUUGCAGGCUGCAACCCGCCUGCAUGAAGCCGGAAUCGCUAGUAAUCGCGGGUCAGCAUACCGCGGUGAAUGUGUUCCUGAGCCUUGCACACACCGCCCGU